UGGUGUUAUAGUUAGGAUUUCAUUUCCUCUCCACACCACCCUCUCUCUCUCUCUCUCUCUCUCUCUCUCUCAGCCCUAAUUUCAUUGUUGAUUUCAAUCCUUACUCUCAGAGACUCCUGAUCGAUGGUUUGUUGAUUUCGUCCCCGACAAUUUCGAUCCCUAAUCUGAUCUCUCUCAGCUAUUUCAGUGAUUUCAAUCCCAGGUAUGUCUACAAGAGGUAGAGGACGAGCAAGGUAUGUACCUAGACCCCAUGCGCCCAUACCCCAUGCAUCCACUAAAUCAGUUUGCUCAUCCACUCAAUCAACACCUGUACCCCAUGCAUCUAUUAAAUCAAUUUGAUUAUCUACGUUGCACCCAUUUACAUCAUAAUCGGUGCAUGAAGUUACGUCACAAGUUUCACACUCAAAUACUUCUAGCACACAUUGCAGCACUGAUGGUUUGUAAAUAUUUUAAGUUUGUGUUUUGUUUUGGUUGGUCUCUUUAUUUCAAUCAAUAUAUUAACAUAAUACUUUUUCAUUCUUUCUAGUAGGCACAUCCAAGGUUAAGAGAGGAUGUGGGAAGUCACGAAGCCUCAAAUUGGCCAAGCUAAAAAAUCAAGGGGUGCGACUGCCUAUUUAGGUUUGCAAGGAAUUAGGGAUUAGAGAUUGUCACUAGGCAAUUUGCCCCACAAAAUGUGCCAUCAUGGACCGAUAUUAGCGAAAAGGAUAUAGAAACAUUGAUUGAAGUGGUGAGAUGUGGCAAGAAUAAGUUGAAUCAGGAGAAGUUGAAAGUCCUCCACCCUGCUGGCUCAAAGGCCUUCAGAAAAGUGCAAUAUGAUGAGAUGCGAUUCUCUAACACUUUUCUUGAAUUUGAGAUAUGUAAAUGGGUUUCCAGCCUAACUCCAACUCUCCAGGAAUGGGAACACAAGUGCACUGUGAAAGCUACCUACCCGGAUAUUACUCCAUGAGAUGAUUUGUAGAGAUUCUGUUUCUUGGAAUUCUCUGAUGGUUAUUCUGAGAAUGGGAUUUUUUGUGUGGCCAUUGUAAUGUUUUCACAGAUGCGUGAUUUCUUGAUACAGCCUAAUAAAUAUACUCUUGCUAGCAUUCUUUGUUGAUUUUUUGGUGUCGUUGAAUUUUAAUUUGGAGAUGAACAGAUGGUUUGUAGAUAUGUUUGAUAUUUUCUAUUUGGUUGUUGAGCA